UGGGGAAUAUUGCACAAUGGGCGCAAGCCUGAUGCAGCCAUGCCGCGUGUAUGAAGAAGGCCUUCGGGUUGUAAAGUACUUUCAGCGAGGAGGAAGGCGUUGUGGUUAAUAACCGCAGCGAUUGACGUUACUCGCAGAAGAAGCACCGGCUAACUCCGUGCCAGCAGCCGCGUUAAUACGGAGGGUGCAAGCGUUAAUCGGAAUUACUGGGUGUAAAGCGCACGCAGGCGGUCUGUCAAGUCGGAUGUGAAAUCCCCGGGCUCAACCUGGGAACUGCAUCCGAAACUGGCAGGCUAGAGUCUUGUAGAGGGGGGUAGAAUUCCAGGUGUAGCGGUGAAAUGCGUAGAGAUCUGGAGGAAUACCGGUGGCGAAGGCGGCCCCCUGGACAAAGACUGACGCUCAGGUGCGAAAGCGUGGGGAGCAAACA
rnacentral:rRNA from 1 species